rnacentral:tRNA from 1 species
UGGUGGAGCCUGUCGGGAUCGAACCGACGACCCCCUGCUUGCAAAGCAGGUGCUCUCCCAGCUGAGCUAAGGCCCC